rnacentral:rRNA from 1 species
AUACGGAGGAUCCGAGCGUUAUCCGGAUUUAUUGGGUUUAAAGGGUGCGCAGGCGGGAGAUUAAGUCGGCGGUGAAAUUUUGCAGCUUAACUGUAAAAGUGCCUUCGAAACUGGUUUCCUUGAGUGUAGAUGAAGUAGGCGGAAUGCGUGGUGUAGCGGUGAAAUGCAUAGAUAUCACGCAGAACUCCGAUUGCGAAGGCAGCUUACUAAGCUACAACUGACACUGAGGCACGAAAGCGUGGGGAUC